rnacentral:rRNA from 1 species
CGGCUCAACCGUAGUAAGCUCUUGAAACUGGGAGACUUGAGUGCAGGAGAGGAGAGUGGAAUUCCUAGUGUAGCGGUGAAAUGCGUAGAUAUUAGGAGGAACGCCAGUUGCGAAGGCGGCUCUCUGGACUGUAACUGACGCUGAGGCACGAAAGCGUGGGGAGCAAACAGGAUUAGAUACCCUGGUAGUCCACGCUGUAAACGAU